rnacentral:sRNA from 1 species
UAAUUCAUAUGCACUACUGGCUGUUGCCAC